AACAUCGCGCACCUGCGGGAACCUGCGGAAGGAUCAUUAAUGAUUGGUGGCUGUUGCUGACUAGUGUUUCUAGUAUGUGCACGCCACACCUUCAAUCCCACUUACACCUGUGCACCUUCUGUAGUAGAUCUAUGUGGAUACGGAGAUGUGAAAGUUUGCGCUCUCCUACUCUGUUGAAGCAGUCUACUACGUUUUUUUACACACACACACACAAUAGUCAUUGAAUGUAUUUUUUAUUCU
rnacentral:misc_RNA from 1 species